AGAAUCUUCACUCAGCCUUUAAUAUCGUAUUUGGCAGGCAGUGAGUCACAAGGAGAGAGAAGAAAUGGAAAGGUCGGUGACAGUGGCUACUGCCCAUAGAAGUUGUGCCAGGAAGCUGGGAAUGUCCUGUGCCCACCACCUCUCACCCACUACUCUGUCACUCAUCAACUGGCAGAGACUAGGAAUAAGAAUUAAAUGGAAGUGAUGGUGACCCAGAAGAUGAUGAGAACAUGGAGCAGAGGAGCCAGAACUGACCAUAUGGGCCUAGUACUUCUGUACUAUAAGAAGGUAGCUAAAGCCAGUGGAAGUCAAUAUUCAAUACAAGUUUAAAUAAACCCACAACACCAAAGCAAAGCCUACAUUUUUAAGCAUCUAACUUUCAGUGACUUGGGGGAACAUUUAUCAAGCAUCCACUAAGCCCUGUCUAGAUACUAGGCAUAUCCCAAACAAAACAAACCCCACACCAUCAUAAAGCUUCCAUUCGUACAUGACUCAACCUAAGCACUGGACUCUUGGAGGACAGCCAACCUUCACAAGACAAGGCAAGAUUCCCCAUGACACCAAGGACUCCAGUCAGAAUCCACGAUAUAUCGGCAUCCACUUUCUCCAUUUCAGCAGUGAAGAAUGUCCGCUGCUUCUGCUGAGGAGCAGAGUUCAGUUCCCAGCACCCACGUCAGGUAGCCACAGCUGCCUGUAACUCCAGCGCCAAGGGGAUCUGACACCUCAGGCCUCCGCAGGAGCUGCAUUUAUUUACACACACACACACACACACACACACACACACACACACACACACACACCACUUUAAAAUAAUAGAAAGAAAUCAUUUUUUAAAAAUGCUUAGCUUCUUGAUAACCCCAAAUAGUUCAAUGUUGAUGCAAGGACAAAGGGUCCUGUUUCUUCCACUCUAAAACUACGAAGCCAGACCCAAACUCCUCAGGCACUGUGUUCCCUGUCUCAUCUGUCAUGCCCCUCUGCAUGGAAAUCAAGGAGGAGGCAAGAGGUCUAUUGCUCUGUAUAUCCAACCACAGCACGGCAGGUGCUGAAGUCAAAACCAGAACCUUAAACAUCUGGGGAAAGCCUUGCUCUCCAAGAGGCUGCAUCUUUGAACAUGGGCUUACUCAUCGCAUCUGAUACGUUACCAGGAAUUGUCAGUUUUCUCUGAUAUCAGCCUGCUUUUUGCUACUCCCCUUUCAUCAGUACACUUCAACAGCCAGAAGCAGCAAGCUUCACCAUGCCGCCAGGCUUCUGUACAUGCUCUCCCCUCACAUCACAGUUGUUUCACACACCUAUGGAUCCCAAAUAGGACUUAAAAUUCUUCCUGGUUUAGGUUCUUUGAUUGUGCUAAUGGCCCCAGCACAUCGCUUUUUGCCAAGCACCUUGGCAUGUCUUCUGCUCCACCCAGUUCUGGCUCCAGCUUGGCACCUUGCUUUGGCUGUGGGUCAUUAACAGAUAGAAUUGGACAGAAGCUUCUGAUGCUGCUUGCACAAUUCUGCUUGCACGUGUGUGCCUCUGCCACGACAAGAACAUUUGUGGGAUAGCCUGAUGAUGGAGUUGGAAGCAGAGUUCACUGAUCACAGACAUUCCAGCCAAGCCUAUGCUAGGUCAGCUAACGGUGAACCAGUCCACAGUCCUGGAUGUGUACCCUGUCAGAAUGAACAGAGCUGCCUGGCUAACUCACAGCCCAAAGCAGCUACACCCAUCCCUGGGUAGACUCAGAACUAAAUAAGGGUUCAAGCUAGGCUGGACAUGGUGGCACAAACCUGUAAUCUGAGCACUUAAGAGAUGUUGUCAAGAGAAUUGCUGAGAAUUCAAGGCCAGCAUAAGCUACAUAGCAAGACUUCGACCCCCAAAACAAUAAAGAAACGACACAAACUUAGAAAAGGGCUAACAGGAUGGCCCAACAAGUGAGCAGGGUAUGUGCUGUUAAACCUGUCAACUUGGGUUUAAUCCCCAGAGUCCAUAAGCUGAAAGAGCGCACUCUCACAGGUUGUCUUCAGACUUCCAUACAAUCACCAUAUACACAAACAACCACAAACCAAAUAAAUGUACUAAUUAAAAAAACAGAUAAAAAUAUAGUAUUUCAUAAUACAUGAACCCAAGCAAUGUUCAAAUUCUGCUGUCCAUAUAUAUUGUUUUACUGAAACAUAGUCAUGCUUAUUUAUUUAUAUAAUGUCUGGGGAGGCUUUUGUGCUUCAGAGAAAGAGUCUGGAGAGGACCUGAGAGGACUUUGCGAGUGACUGAAUGGUUACUUGUUUUUAGCCACUGACAAUCCAUGACAAUUAGUGACACAGCAUUCCUGUAGGGAAAUUUGCUGACACUUCUCAUCUGAGAGCUCAAUUUCCCUGGAGAAAGUAUUGGGGGAGCGUCCGGAAUGAGGUCAGGCCAAAGCUAGCCUACUCUACUUCUCCACUCCAGGCAUGGUCCUUGAGCUGGGUCAGUGGCUGGGCCACAGGCUGGAAUGGCAGACACUGGUACGCCAAUAAUAUUGUAUCCUUCGGUAGUUCCCAUGUGGAGAGCAGACAACAUGAGCUACUCUGCUACAGCGACUCUGUAACACUUAUUUUUGAUGAGUUUCAUCCACCCCCAAAUGCAUACUCAGAGGCCAGUUUGCAUUGGAGCAGAGAUAGAAAAAGGGCUUCUGAAAGAUAAAACCCAGACAGUAUUUACCUAGAUUAAUUUGGUUAUGUUUACACAGCGAGGCUAAAAUUUAAUUCCCACCCUGGAGUCUACUGGUAGAAACGCAGCAGGAUCAUGGUAUCAGUUAAUAAA
ensembl:lincRNA Gm16508 predicted gene 16508